CUGACCAUGGUCGGAAAAGGGUAGAAGGCAUACUGCUUAGAAUCCUAUACCGAAGUGGUCAGACUGACAGACCGAUCAAGUUAGAAAGAAGUCUACACUUUAAAGACAUGUCUCGAGGCCUUCCUCGGGAUCGAUGAAGACCCAACAGCCAUUUUCCUGAUUGAUUGACUGAGAAGGGUAUUUCGCCCUAUUGGUCUUCGGGAUUAUGGUCGAAGCGGAGUAGAAGCCGACCCAACAGCCAUUUUCCUGAUUGAUUGACUGAGAAGGGUAUUCCGCCCUAUUGGUCUUUGGGAUUAUGGUCGCAGCAGACGAAGGCUCACCACAGUGACAGAAAGUUUCACCGAAGUAGAUCCAGAAAUCACACUCCCGAGAGUCCAUUAAGGGCACACCGCUCUGUGGGCACUUGUCUUCGGGGAAAUCCAUCUAAGGUUGCAGCUCCAGAUGGAAAGCAGCUGAGGAGUCCGACAAAGCCGUUGCAGUUCUUCAGCAGAAGCAGAGUUCGUGGAUAUUGCAUGCAGAUGGAUAUUCUAUUUCGGACAUCAGUAUAGCAGGCUAUCAAGGAGUCGAUCACAAUAACAAUUCCACCGCCGGUGCAUUAUCGAAGCUGGCCACUACAGAUGCUUAUAACUUUGACGACAGAUGGCGUCAUUUCUUCGGAUCAGAUGCUGGCAAAGAAGACCAAGUACAAGAGUGUCCAUUUUGUUCUCAUUGAUGAGAAUCUUUAUCGAAGGACCUUUUUCGUCAUCAUUACUUAAACAUUUGGUUCCAUCCGAAGCAGGGUGUGUUCUUCGGGAAGUUCACAAAGAUAUUCGUGACAAUUAUUUGGCCCAAAGUUG
rnacentral:lncRNA from 1 species